rnacentral:rRNA from 1 species
GGCUCAGGACGAACGCGGCCGGCGUGCUUAACACAUGCAAGUCGAGCGGGUACCUAUUUGGUGGCAACACCUUGUAGGUGCUAGCGGCGAACGGGUGAGUAACGCGUGAGCAACCUGCCCUGAAGACGGGGAUAACAGCCGGAAACGGCUGCUAAUACCCGAUGUCUCUGUCGAGUCGCAUGGCUUGUCAAAGAAAUGGAUUCCGCUUCAGGAGGGGCUCGCGGCCUAUCAGCUUGUUGGUGAGGUAACGGCUCACCAAGGCGUCGACGGGUAGCUGGUCUGAGAGGACGACCAGCCACACUGGGACUGAGACACGGCCCAGACUCCUACGGGAGGCAGCAGUGGGGAAUCUUGCGCAAUGGGCGAAAGCCUGACGCAGCAACGCCGCGUGGGGGACGAAGGCUCUCGGGUUGUAAACCCCUUUCAGCAGGAACAAAAUUGACGGUACCUGCAGAAGAAGCCCCGGCCAACUACGUGCCAGCAGCCGCGGUAAUACGUAGGGGGCGAGCGUUGUCCGGAUUCAUUGGGCGUAAAGAGCUCGUAGGCGGUUUGGUAAGUCGGGUGUGAAAACCCCAGGCUCAACCUGGGGACGCCGCCUGAUACUGCCAUGACUUGAGUCUGGUAGGGGAUCACGGAAUUCCUGGUGUAGCGGUGAAAUGCGCAGAUAUCAGGAGGAACACCGGUGGCGAAGGCGGUGAUCUGGGCCAGUACUGACGCUGAGGAGCGAAAGCGUGGGUAGCAAACAGGAUUAGAUACCCUGGUAGUCCACGCCGUAAACGUUGGGCACUAGGUGUGGGGGGACGUCAACUCCUUCCGUGCCGCAGCUAACGCAGUAAGUGCCCCGCCUGGGGGAGUACGGCCGCAAGGCUAAAACUC